rnacentral:rRNA from 1 species
UACGUAGGUGGCAAGCGUUAUCCGGAAUUAUUGGGCGUAAAGAGCGCGCAGGUGGUUGAUUAAGUCUGAUGUGAAAGCCCACGGCUUAACCGUGGAGGGUCAUUGGAAACUGGUCGACUUGAGUGCAGAAGAGGGAAGUGGAAUUCCAUGUGUAGCGGUGAAAUGCGUAGAGAUCGGGAGGAACACCAGUGGCGAAGGCGGGUAACUGGACUGCAACUGACGCUGAGGAGCGAAAGUUAGGGGAGCAAACAGGAUUAGAUACCCCGGUAGU